AGUGAACGUAAAUGUAGUUGAUCAUGUAAAUAUUUAAUAAUAUCGGUCUACUGGAAUGGACUUUCAUCCGAUUUGGGGACGCCAUGUUGGAGUUCGAGGUCACUUGCAGAAAGCAAGCUCUGCUAUAAAAUAGAAGCUUGACAAUAAUCAAUUGAAUUAUAAAAAAUAAGUCAACUCUGGAAUGAGAAUCCCGUAUUAUCCUACUAGCUUGCUUGCUGCAGUAGACUUCUUAGCUUUAUUAACUAUCGGUCGCUGAUGAACCACAAUUAAGAAUGGCAACCCAUAAGAGACGAUAUCUGCUGAAGGAUCAAAAAGACUUUUCUGGAAACGCCUAUUUAUUAAACGGAAUAUGCCUAG